rnacentral:rRNA from 1 species
UAGCCGUAAACGAUACUCGCUAGGUGUCGGCCACGGUGCGACCGUUGUCGGUGCCGUAGGGAAGCCGUGAAGCGAGCCACCUGGGAAGUACGGCCGCAAGGCUGAAACUUAAAGGAAUUGGCGGGGGGAGCACAACAACGGGUGGAGCUUGCGGUUUAAUUGGAUUCAACGCCGGACAACUCACCAGGAGCGACGGUUACAUGAAGGCCAGGCUGAUGACCUUGCCUGAUUUUCCGAGAGGUGGUGCAUGGCGUAGUCGUGU